GUUUGGUGGUGAACGUGGUGGUGCUGCUGGGGGAAAGGUUGGACUGGAUGAUCCCAGAGGGCUUUUCCGACCUAAAUGAUUCUGUGAUUCUCUGACCGAGCUCAUCCUCCAUUGGAACUUUUUGUUUUCCCCAAGUUAAUUUUGGACUCAGGAAAUCCCAGCUGGACAGUAUUGGAGGUGCAGCCCCCCAGCCCUGAGUGGAGCUGGGCAGUGACUGUCCCACCCCACUGCCCACACUCUUUACACAGCCCAGGGUGGAGUUCCCAUAUUUAGGAGCAACCAUUUGCUCAUGUUCACCUUGGUCCCACCAUAGCUCCCAGGCCCUUCACACCAAACUGCUCACACUUUACAGGCUGGUUUGGCUGCAGAGGACUAUUCUGCCCCAGCCACAAUUCCACAUGGAGAUGAAAACAGUCCAGAGAAAGCAAAUGUAUCUACAGCAGCAGCCUGAGGUUCAUUGCCUGGAUGGGAGUUUCCAGCCUGUCACAGCUUUGCUCCAUCCCGUGGGAGCUGGACACGUUCCCUCAGAUGGCUCUUUGAGCCCUGGUGCCUUCUCAGCAGUUGUGCUUUCUUUUAUCUCUCUGUGCUGCACCUUCCCUGAAAACAAAGGACUGUUUGCAUUCAAA